UACGUAGGGUGCGAGCGUUGUCCGGAAUUACUGGGCGUAAAGAGCUCGUAGGUGGUUUGUCGCGUUGUUCGUGAAAACCGGAGGCUCAACCUCUGGCGUGCGGCGAUACGGGCAGACUUGAGUACUGCAGGGGAGACUGGAAAUUCCUGGUGUGCGGUGAAAUGCGCGAUAUCAGGAGGAACACCCGGUGGCGAAGGCGGUCAUCUGGGCCGGC
rnacentral:rRNA from 1 species